GUUGUCCAGGUAAGAAUUUUAGUUCAACCUUAAAUUUACUACAAAAAUACAAAAUUACACCGUAAAUUUAAUUGUUAAUCUAAANGGGUACAGCCCUUUAGACUAAGGAUACAACCUUCAUUAGAGAGUAAAUCACAUUAAUAACCAUAGUUGGCCUAAAAGCAGCCAUCAAUUAAGAAAGCGUUCAAGCUCAACAACAAUCAAAUUCUUAAUUUAAUAAAUUUUCAUUAACUCCUAAUUUACCACUGGACUAAUCUAUUAACUAAUAGAAGAAAUACUGUUAAUAUGAGUAACAAGAUUUAUAUCUCCCAGCACAAGUUUAUGUCAGACCAAAUAAUAACUGAUAGUUAACAACCAAAUAAAUAUAAUCCCACAUAAAUUAUUUAUUAAAUCACUGUUAACCCAACACAGGCGUGCAACAAAGGAAAGAUUAAAAGAAGUAAAAGGAACUCGGCAAACACAAACCCCGCCUGUUUACCAAAAACAUCACCUCUAGCAUUACUAGUAUUAGAGGCACUGCCUGCCCAGUGACAACUGUUAAACGGCCGCGGUAUCCUG
rnacentral:rRNA from 1 species